rnacentral:rRNA from 1 species
GACAGAGGUGCCGAGCGUUAGGCGGAAUCACUGGGCUUAAAGCGUGUGUAGGCGGACUUGUAAGUACCUUGUGAAAUCCCAUGGCUCAACCAUGGAACUGCUUGGUAUACUGCUUGUCUUGAGCCACUUAGGGGCAGUCGGAACAGACGGUGGAGCGGUGAAAUGCGUAGAUAUCGUCUGGAACGCCAAAGGUGAAAACAGACUGCUGGGAGUGUACUGACGCUGAGACACGAAGGCUAGGGGAGCAAACGGG